rnacentral:rRNA from 1 species
UACGAGUGCCCCAAGCGUUAUCCGGAAUCAUUGGGCGUAAAGGGUGUGUAGGCGGUUGUGUUAGUCUUCUGUUAAAUUCUUCGGCUUAACCGGGGGCAUGCAGGGGAAACGGCACAACUAGAGGAUGCGAGAGGUGAAUGGAACUCAUGGAGUAGGGGUGAAAUCCGUUGAUAUCAUGGGGAACACCGAAAGCGAAGGCAAUUCACUGGCGCACUCCUGACGCUGAAACACGAAAGCGUGGGGAGCAAACAGG